rnacentral:rRNA from 1 species
CGGGUGGCGAGCGGCGCACGGGUGAGUAACGCGUAUGUAACCUGCCCAUGAGUGGGGGAUAGUCCCGGUAGAAAACCGGAUUAAUACCCCAUGAUACCAUUGUCUGACAUCAUUUAAUGGUUAAAGAUUGAUUGCUCAUGGAUGGACAUGCGUUGGAUUAGCUGGUCGGCGGGGCAACGGCCCACCGAGGCGACGAUCCAUAGGGGUUCUGAGAGGAAGGUCCCCCACAUUGGUACUGAGACACGGACCAAACUCCUACGGGAGGCAGCAGUGAGGAAUAUUGGUCAAUGGGCGGAAGCCUGAACCAGCCAAGUCGCGUGGAGGGAAAAGACGGCAUUAUGUGUUGUAAACUCCUUUAGCUGUGGAGAAAUAAGGCGGUCGUGACCGCCGAUGCUAGUACACAGAGAAUAAGGAUCGGUCUAACUCCGUGCCAGCCGCCGC